rnacentral:lncRNA from 1 species
GGAACAGUCAUGGCAACUGCCUCAUUGGCUGUUGUCUGGAUUCAGUGGGUGGGCACCGGCAGUGGCUACUCUAGCCCUAGGACAGAGCAUGGCCACCCCCAACACUUGACAUCUUUGGGCAAGAGGCCAGGCUGCUGACUCAGGACAUAGGUCUAGGUGGGCCCAGCUGAGAGAUGCCCCCAUGGCAGUGGGUGAUGCCCCGUGACCCCUCAGUGCCGCUUCCCAGCCUCAGGCCUCCAUCUGCAGAACAGGAAGAGGCCACAGCUCCUCACCUUGGGCCCUGGCUGCACCCUAGGCCCUGGCCUCCUCUGCGCAGCCCCUGAGGGGUGGUGGAGUCCCGAGCUGCCAGCACCUGGCAGGGCGGAGCCUGCAGAGCCUGCAGAGCUGGAGGUCUGCAGUGUGCCCGGAGGGAGGACUGAGGUGUACCUUGGCUGGGGAGUUAGGAAGCUGCCAGAGGAAACAAUGAGGCUAUAAAAAUAGCCCUUUGUUUACCGUAGGUGCACAUCCUUGUGUAUCCUUGUGUGAAAGGGGCUGGCUUGGUGGAGGGGCUGAGCUUCCAGUUGGGGAAGGGACCUGGCGGAGUCAGUAGUGGGGCGGAGUUGGGGGGCCCAUCCACCCCCCCCUGCAGUGCCCAGGUAGCCUCCCCAGGUAGCAUCUGAUGGCCUCACUGGCCUGAGGUGGCCCCUCCAGCCAGGCCUAUGGUGUGGCUGUACCUGUGCUCCCUCAGCAAGGCUCAGCCCCAGCCCCCAGCCCAGAGGCCUGUGGCGGCCCUGCCCACCCUCCCAGGCCCAGCUCGGACUGCCCCUGCCAGCUUGUCCCUUGGGAGUCAGUCCGGGGCUGGUCCUGCAUCCCAGGGUAGAACCCUGCCACGCAGUCUAUAGACUUCUCCGACCGAUUCAGCCCUCCACCCCAUCAGGAGGGCUGAG